GCUUAACACAUGCAAGUCGAACGAUGAUCCCAGCUUGCUGGGGGAUUAGUGGCGAACGGGUGAGUAACACGUGAGUAACCUGCCCUUGACUCUGGGAUAAGCCUGGGAAACUGGGUCUAAUACCGGAUAUGACUCCUCAUCGCAUGGUGGGGGGUGGAAAGCUUUUGUGGUUUUGGAUGGACUCGCGGCCUAUCAGCUUGUUGGUGGGGUAAUGGCCUACCAAGGCGACGACGGGUAGCCGGCCUGAGAGGGUGACCGGCCACACUGGGACUGAGACACGGCCCAGACUCCUACGGGAGGCAGCAGUGGGGAAUAUUGCACAAUGGGCGCAAGCCUGAUGCAGCGACGCCGCGUGAGGGAUGACGGCCUUCGGGUUGUAAACCUCUUUCAGUAGGGAAGAAGCGUAAGUGACGGUACCUGCAGAAGAAGCGCCGGCUAACUACGUGCCAGCAGCCGCGGUAAUACGUAGGGCGCAAGCGUUAUCCGGAAUUAUUGGGCGUAAAGAGCUCGUAGGCGGUUUGUCGCGUCUGCUGUGAAAGACCGGGGCUCAACUCCGGUUCUGCAGUGGGUACGGGCAGACUAGAGUGCAGUAGGGGAGACUGGAAUUCCCUGGUGUAGCGGUGAAAUGCGCAGAUAUCAGGAGGAACACCGAUGGCGAAGGCAGGUCUCUGGGCUGUAACUGACGCUGAGGAGCGAAAGCAUGGGGAGCGAACAGGAUUAGAUACCCUGGUAGUCCAUGCAAUANACGUUGGGCACUAGGUGUGGGGNACAUUCCACGUUUUCCGCGCCGUAGCUAACGCAUUA
rnacentral:rRNA from 1 species